AGGGUGUAAACGCUGCAGACUUGGUGUUGGGGGCCCUUUGGGGGCAUUCAGUGCCGGAGAGAAGUUGUUAAGUCUGCUACUUGGGGAGUACGUCCGCAAGGAUGAAACUUAAAGGAAUUGGCGGGGGGGAGCACCACAACGGGUGGAGCCUGCGGUUUAAUUGGACUCAACGCCGGAAAUCUCACCAGGGAAGACUGUUACAUGAAGGCCGAGAUGAAGACUCUGCUAGAUUUUUCAGAGAGGUGGUGCAUGGCGUCAGUGACU
rnacentral:rRNA from 1 species